rnacentral:rRNA from 1 species
AUUGAACGCUGGCGGCAUGCCUUACACAUGCAAGUCGAACGGCAGCAUGGAAGAGCUUGCUCUUCUGAUGGCGAGUGGCGAACGGGUGAGUAAAGCAUCGGAACGUACCGUGUAGUGGGGGAUAACGUAGCGAAAGUUACGCUAAUACCGCAUACGCACUGAGGUGGAAAGCAGGGGAUCGCAAGACCUUGCGCUAUACGAGCGGCCGAUGUCAGAUUAGCUAGUUGGUAGGGUAAAGGCCUACCAAGGCGACGAUCUGUAGCGGGUCUGGAAGGAUGAUCCGCCACACUGGAACUAGGACCCGGCCCAGACUCCUACGGGAGGCAGCAGUGGGGAAUUUUGGACAAUGGGGGAAACCCUGUUCCAGCCAUGCCGCGUGAGUGAAGAAGGCCUUCGGGUUGUAAAGCUCUUUCGGCUGGGAAGAAAGCGCACAGGCUAAUACUCUGUGUGGAUGACGGUACCAGCACAAGAAGCACCGGCUAACUACGUGCCAGCAGCCGCCGCUGUAA